rnacentral:rRNA from 1 species
CGCGUAGGUGGUCUGUCAAGUCGGGGGUGAAAUCUUUCGGCUCAACCGGAAAACUGCCUUCGAUACUGACAGGCUCGAGGGAGGUAGGGGUUGCGGGAACUACCAGUGGAGCGGUGAAAUGCGUUGAUAUUGGUAGGAACGCCGGUGGCGAAAGCGCGCAACUGGACCUCUUCUGACACUGAGUGCGCGAAAGCUAGGGGAAGCAAACG